rnacentral:rRNA from 1 species
GCGAUUCGCCCUUCGGGGCGCAGCAGGCGCGAAAACUUUACAAUGCGGGAAACCGUGAUAAGGGGACACCGAGUGCCAGCAUCAUAUGCUGGCUGUCCAGGUGUGUAAAAUACACCUGUCAGCAAGGGCCGGGCAAGACCGGUGCCAGCCGCCGCGGUAACACCGGCGGCCCGAGUGGUGAUCGUGAUUAUUGGGUCUAAAGGGUCCGUAGCCGGUUUGGUCAGUCCUCCGGGAAAUCUGACGGCUCAACCGUUAGGCUUUCGGGGGAUACUGCCAGGCUUGGAACCGGGAGAGGUAAGAGGUACUACAGGGGUAGGAGUGAAAUCUUGUAAUCCCUGUGAGACCACCUGUGGCGAAGGCGUCUUACCAGAACGGGUUCGACGGUGAGGGACGAAAGCUGGGGGCACGAACCGGAUUAGAUACCCGGGUAGUCCCAGCCGUAAACGAUGCUCGCUAGGUGUCAGGCAUGGCGCGACCGUGUCUGGUGCCGCAGGGAAGCCGUGAAGCGAGCCACCUGGGAAGUACGGCCGCAAGGCUGAAACUUAAAGGAAUUGGCGGGGGAGCAC